rnacentral:rRNA from 1 species
UACGGGGGGAGCAAGCGUUGUUCGGAUUUACUGGGCGUAAAGGGCGCGUAGGCGGCCAGUGCAAGUCAGUUGUGAAAUCUCCGAGCUUAACUCGGAAAGGUCAACUGAUACUGCUCGGCUAGAGUGCGGGAAGGGGCAACUGGAAUUCUCGGUGUAGCGGUGAAAUGCGUAGAUAUCGAGAGGAACACCUGCGGCGAAGGCGGGUUGCUGGGCCGACACUGACGCUGAAGCGCGAAAGCUAGGGGAGCGAACGGG